rnacentral:lncRNA from 1 species
UUCGGCUCCCAGGCACCCCAGACGCAACCACGCCGCGGCCGCCACUACUGGGCGCUGGGGCCAGCCCUGCCCCUAAGCAGCUGCAAUACCACGGUCGCCGCCGCCGCCGCCGCCCUCAGGGCGGUGUUUAGCACGGAGGGAACGUGGGUGCCUAUCUCUUUAAGAGGGCCUCACCACACGUGAUUCAUCAAAGUGCCCGCAGUCGGCCGCCCGGGCGGGCGCCUAAAGCUGCUUCCUAGUCGUACUCGCCUUGGAGUGGCCCCCGCUACUGAGCAUGCCCGGCGCGGCGACCGGCGCCUAACAGAAGACUCUCAGCCGCCGUGAAGCACUGAUUUCACUUCCUACUAGCCUCGCGUGCAAUGGGAGGGAACUCAAGAAAGAGAGGGGUAGCCCAUUUUAGAGGUGUGCAUUCUCCUACGGAGAUAAACUACCCGAGGACAGCAGAGAAGGGGAAUACUUGCUUCCAGACAGGGUAGACAAGGAGCCCCAAGGUAACUUUUCACUGUUGAAGUUCCUGUUUGACUUAAAGUUUGAUGUAUAUUUUAGACUCGGCUCACUACACAUACACACGGUUUAUAUACAUGUCUCCCUUCCUGAAAUACUGAGUAAAAAUGGAUGCUGCAGAAGACAUGACCUAUUUAUCCAGUGGCUUCAUGUAAUGGCUAUUUGACAGAAGGAGGUGUGGGCCAUUGUGGGGGCGCUCUCCAAGCUCAAACAUUGCUUUAUGAUAUACUUCAUAGACAUUUCUGGAGCACUUUAGAAUAUACCAUAUGACACACAGAGGACUGUCGUAUCCUCAGGUUAGGCUUAGCUACAUUUGGCGUCCAACUUGAGGUAAAUAAAGACCAGUCAUCUUUUCUGCA